AUUAGAGCUUCAUUUCAAGGGAGGGUUUAGGGAUUGCAAUUCAAGAGGUGCUUCCAGAUAUUGAGCAUAAACACUGUGUUAGGCACCUUCACAACAACUUCAAAAAGUUGCAUGCAGGUGAAGCAUUGAAGCAGAGGUUUUGGACUUGUGCUAGACCAUCACACAUGACAAGGUUUCAGAACCAAGAGCUUGAGGGAAUACGAUGAUAUGCAUGGAAAUGGUUGACAAAUAACACUUCACCCUACUAUUGGUCAAGAUCCCACAUCCUGUCCACACUCAAGUGCGACAUUCUGAUCAACAAUUUAUGUGAGAACUUCAAUUCGGUCAUUAUGGAUACAAGGGAGAAGCCAAUUCUGAAGAAUGCUUGAGACAACCAGAAUUUAUCCAAUGGAACGGCUUAGAACAAAAAGAGACUUGAUGAAGAAGAGAAAUGACAAGAUCUGUCCAAAAUUCGAAAAAAGCUUGAAAAAGCCAAAGAAGAAGUUACUUCAAAUAUUGCACUAUGGUUCAAGGAAGAUCAGUUUGAACUGACACACACAUAUGGGAGAAAGCAUGUGAUUGAUGUUAAGAACCAAACAUGCACAUGUAGAAGAUAAGACUUGACUAGCUAGCCUUGCUACCAUGCUAUUUGCUAUAUUUCCUUGACUAGAGGGACUCUCAAGAGCUUGGUUCAUCAAUACUACUCAAGGAAUAACUACUUGAAAGCAUACGAACCAACAAUAGCACCAGUGAGUGGACGCUUGGGUUUAGUCAAAAAAAAAGAUUUUAUGUUGCCUCCUAAGAAGUUAAACUCCUAGUAGGCGAAGGAAAUUAAGGAGAAGGGAGCCUGAUGAACCAAGGCCCAAUUUGGUAGGUGCAACAAAACUACCUAGAACACGACUUGUGAAAAUGAAAUGCUCAAACUGCCAUGAAGAAGCCACACUAUGAGAAAAUGCCCAUGGUUCAUUCUAGCCAAUGAGCUCCUUGGUUAUAGCUCUGGCAGGGCACUAUCAUCUAAGUCCAAUAAACGUAGCUUUUGCAAGAAUUUGGGCCAUAACAAAAGAACUAGUAAGACAAAGAAGAAUAAUUCAAAUGAAGACUACCCCUCAACUACUAUAGCUAGUAGUUAGGAUUGUUUGCUAAUAUUUUGGUUUUUUGGUCCUAAACUUAUCACUAACAAAAAUUGCAACUUUUGGUUUAAUAGAUGCACAUCAGGCCUAUAAUGAUAAAGGGAGUGAAAGACACCAACAAGAAGCUAGUACCUUGUCUUCAGCAAAUGAUGGUUUGUGCCAUUAUAUAUGUCCAAAAAUUAUUCUAAUUGAAGUUAAUUUAAUUUUUGCCAUUAUAUUGCUCAACUACUUGUAAGUUUGCCUAGUCUCAGGUGAAAAUUCAGAGGUAGGUACUGAACAUGCUGCAGUGAUAGACAUCCAGCCUUCAGCUCCACAAGAAAUUGAUACUAGUUUGCCUUAAAAGGUCAUGAAGUGUUCAGUUUGGAAGACAAUUUGACAUAAUAUGCAAAUGUGUGACACAUUUCAGGCUCGAGAUUGGAGAAAGAGAAGAGCUGAUAUGUCCGUGUAAGUCUAUUUCCUCCUUCAAAAGGGAAAGAGACUAGUAGAAAGCAAACGGUACAUAGGUUGUUAGAUGAAAGUGAUGAUGCAGGCAUAACAAUAUUGGGAGGAUGAGGUGCUGCAUAUGAAGAUCAACUUAGGCUUAAUUUUUUGUUGUAGAUGUUUAUGGAAUGAAGUCUCCUCAAUAUAGAUCUUCCAAUCGUAAUUAAAGUAGUGUACUAAUCUUGUGAGGUGUGUUUAGGGAAUGAACUAGGUCAUUGUUUUGUAAAAGUUAGGCUAUGUGACCUUAACUUGUCUCUUGUUGGCUAGACAUGAACUAAUCUUAUGAGCUGGGCAUUGAUCUCUUUUGGAUGACUGAAA